rnacentral:rRNA from 1 species
GGGACCCGUCUUGAAACACGGACCAAGGAGUCUAGCAUGUGCGCGAGUCAUUGGGACUCUAACGAAACCUAAAGGCGUAAUGAAAGUGAAGGCCCGCCUAGCGCGAGCCGAGGGAGGAUGGGUGUCUCCGUGGAGACGCCCCGCACUCCCAGGGCGUCUCGUUCUCAUUGCGAGAAGAGGCGCACCAAGAGCGUACACGCUGGGACCCGAAAGAUGGUGAACUAUGCCUGGUCAGGACGAAGUCAGGGGAAACCCUGAUGGAGGUCCGUAGCGAUUCUGACGUGCAAAUCGAUCGUCGGAACUGGGUAUAGGGGCGAAAGACUAAUCGAACCAUCUAGUAGCUGGUUCCCUCCGAAGUUUCCCUCAGGAUAGCUGGCGCUCGCUUCUCGCGAGUCUCAUUCGGUAAAGCGAAUGAUUAGAGGCAUUGGGGUCGAAACGGCCUCAACCUAUUCUCAAACUUUAAAUGGGUGAGAUCUCCGGCUUGCUUGAACUGUGAAGCCGCGAGAUAUCGGAUCAGAGUGCCAAGUGGGCCACUUUUGGUAAGCAGAACUGGCGCUGUGGGAUGAACCAAACGCUGAGUUAAAGCGCCUAAAUCGACGCUUAUGGGAUACCAUGAAAGGCGUUGGUAACUUAAGACAGCAGGACGGUGGCCAUGGAAGUCGGAAUCCGCUAAGGAGUGUGUAAA